CGUGCCAGCAGCCGCGGUAAUACGAAGGGGGCUAGCGUUGCUCGGAAUUACUGGGCGUAAAGGGCGCGUAGGCGGACAGUUAAGUUGGGGGUGAAAGCCCGGGGCUCAACCUCGGAAAUGCCUUCAAUACUGGCUGUCUUGAGUACGGGAGAGGUGGGUGGAACUCCGAGUGUAGAGGUGAAAUUCGUAGAUAUUCGGAAGAACACCAGUGGCGAAGGCGACUCACUGGCCCGUUACUGACGCUGAGGCGCGAAAGCGUGGGGAGCAAACAGGAUUAGAUACCCUGGUAGUCCACGCCGUAAACGAUG
rnacentral:rRNA from 1 species